UACGUAGGGUGCAAGCGUUGUCCGGAAUUAUUGGGCGUAAAGAGCUCGUAGGCGGCUUGUCGCGUCGGCUGUGAAAACCCGGAGCUCAACUCCGGGCCUGCAGUCGAUACGGGCAGACUGGAGUUCGGCAGGGGAGACUGGAAUUCCUGGUGUAGCGGUGAAAUGCGCAGAUAUCAGGAGGAACACCGGUGGCGAAGGCGGGUCUCUGGGCCGAUACUGACGCUGAGGAGCGAAAGCGUGGGGAGCGAACAGG
rnacentral:rRNA from 1 species